rnacentral:rRNA from 1 species
UACGUAGGGGGCUAGCGUUGUCCGGAUUUAUUGGGCGUAAAGAGCGUGUAGGCGGCCAGAUAGGUCUGCUGUGAAAACUCGAGGCUCAACCUCGAGAUGUCGGCGGAAACCAUUUGGCUAGAGUCCGGAAGAGGAAAGUGGAAUUCCUGGUGUAGCGGUGAAAUGCGCAGAUAUCAGGAAGAACACCCGUGGCGAAGGCGGCUUUCUGGGACGGUACUGACGCUGAGACGCGAAAGCGUGGGGAGCGAACAGGG